GUUCAUAUAGUUUAAUGGUAAAACUUUGUACUGUUAAUACAAUAAUAUAGGUUCAAUUCCUUUUAUGAACG
rnacentral:tRNA from 1 species